CAAACAAACAAGCAAGAAACUAUGAAAGUAUCAGAGCUGAAUAAAAGAAGAGACAGCAGUAUUUCUUCUUCAUAUCCUGAGUCCAGAUACUUCGCUCUUUCCCCUAGAAGCUGCAACAUAUGAAAUUGUGAGUGUCAGACCAGUAAUUCAGUGGACUGCUACAGGCCAGAGUCUCAGCGAUUGCCCAAUAUUUAUUACCUUCUGGAAUAUUUUUAAAGGAUACCAAGAUGGGAUUGGCAUAAAAAUAGACGUGGCAGCUCUUUGGCAUAUGGGAAUUCUCCAUAGCAGAAGGACUCGUGAGGUAUAAGCUUAAGGAUUUCUUCAUACUAAUUUUAGAUAGUAUAAGGCACUUGAAAUAGGAUUUAAAAAGGUUGACCAAGACAAUUUCUUUGUUUCUUUUUUCAAGAAUGAAACAUUUGACCUUCCAAGAACAGCGUUCUGGUCUGUGGUGAAUGAAGAGGUAACAUAGAACAACUAAUAAGGGCAGAGGUAACUAUCACACUUGCAAGCUGAAGCUCAAUUAGGAAAAUACCAAGACUAUUUCUGAGUGAUAUAAUUACACUCAGCAAUUACAGUCUCACUAUUCAACAUUUUGAACAAAGCAGUGUCUGCACACAUUGUGCAUUGAUG
rnacentral:lncRNA from 1 species